UGUCCCUGUCCUGGGUAGGGUGGCAUCUAUCUGGUGGUGUCCAUUUCAUAUCAGCCAGAGACAAAGCAAUUCCUUGUUUAUCCCCUUGGCUUUAGGCCUAUGCCCAUGUUUGAUUCAUGCCUUGGAUAUAUAG
ensembl:snoRNA